rnacentral:rRNA from 1 species
AUUGAACGCUGGCGGCAGGCUUAACACAUGCAAGUCGAGCGAGCGGCGGACGGGUGCGUAAUGUCUGGGAAACUGCCUGAUGGAGGGGGAUAACUACUGGAAACGGUAGCUAAUCCCGCAUACCAUCAGAUGUGCCCAGAUGGGAUUGGCUAGUAGGUGGGGUAAUGGCUCACCUAGGCGACGAUCCCUAGCUGGUCUGAGAGGAUGACCAGCCACACUCGAACUGAGACACGGUCCAGACGCCUACGGAAGGCAGAAGGGGGGAAGAGGGAACAAUGGGAGCAAGACUGAUGCAGCCAUGACGCGGGUGUGAAGAAGGCCUUCGGGUUGUAAAGCACUUUCAGCGAGGAGGCGUUACUCGCAGAAGAAGCACCGGCUAAAGCCGUGCCAGGAGCCGCGGUAAUUC